GAUGAAGAACGCAGCGAAAUGCGAUACGUAAUGUGAAUUGCAGAAUUCAGUGAAUCAUCGAAUCUUUGAACGCACAUUGCGCCCGCCAGUAUUCUGGCGGGCAUGCCUGUUCGAGCGUCAUUUCAACCAUCAAGCCCUGCUUGCGUUGGGGUCCUGCGGCUGCCCGCAGGCCCUGAAAACCAGUGGCGGGCUCGCUAGUCACAACGAGCGCAGUAAUACAUCUCGCUUUGGGCGUGCGGCGGGUUCUUGCCGUUAAACACCCCCUUUUUACCAAGGUUGACCUCGGAUCAGGUAGGAAUACCUGCUGAACUUAAGCAUAUCAAUAAGCGGAGGA
rnacentral:misc_RNA from 1 species